rnacentral:lncRNA from 1 species
UGGCAAUUCAGUAAACAUUUUAGCAAUUUCUUCUUUCCUGCCUGCUGAAGACUGACUUCCUCCUGCUGCCAAAGUUCUAGAGUCUGGACGUCUGAGAUCAGGGUGCCAGCACUGUCGAGGUCACAGACUGCAGACCUCCUUGUAUCUUCAAAUGGAGGAAAGAGGACAAGAGAGCUCCUGUGGUCCCUUUUAUCAAGAUGAAUGCACAAGGAAAAUGUUGUACAUUUGCACAUUGGAGUACACUUCAGCCAUAAAAAGAAUGAGAUGCUGUCAUUUGCAACAACAGAGUUGUGCAGUCAUCAGUUAUCUUCAUGGGACGAGUAUGUCCGGAGGGGAGGAAAAUCUGAUAAAAAAUAUUGAAAUUCAAUGAAGGCUUCCACUGCUUAACAAAUGUUACAUAGAAUUCUUCACCGAUGUGAGGAACAUCAGUUUGCAAAAGAAACUCUGCACUUUCAGGGAUAAAAAGACUGAGACUCCAAAUGGUGCUCCUAGUAUUGGUGAAGCUUAGGGAGAGAGCCCAUUGUGUUUCUAUCUAACUGCUCUCAGGAAAAGGUAGAAAAUGUCUCAGAUUCCACAAGAAAGAUAGAAUGUGUGAUAAGAUGACAAUCAGGCCACAACAGAAUAUCCUAGUAGGGUACAUAAAUUAGCAUCAACAUGGACCAAUUAGCAAGGAAGUGUCUUCAUAAUAUUCCCGUAAUUAGACUCUCAUUAGCUUGAUAUUUGAUGCUGGACUAACCCUAUUUGAAUGAUAUAAGCACUGGUACUUAGAAUUUUCAGAGACUGGUGCCCCUAAUGGAAAAAUGCAGGAUGAAAUGCUAGUGAAGAUUAACUGGGAGAAAAAUAGGUAAAUGUGAAAAAGAAAACGUGUGUCUGACUGUAUACAGAGUUCUAAUUGUAAAAAAUUAAUCGAAUGUAUAAAAUAUCGACAGCCCAAAUAAAUGUUAUUUUCCUGAAGUACUUAAUUAUCUCCAUGUGUUUCUGGUUUCACUAUGUCAAUCAUUUUAAAAAUAACAAUUUAAGGAAUUAUGUAUGUGAUUGGUUGAGGUUUUCAUUCUUUGAGAUAUUCUGAAAGAUUUCAAUUAUAUCCUAGGCUUUGCUGGAUACCAAAGCUUUUACUAAAGCUUUCCUAAGGCUUUUCUAAAGGUUUCUUAUAGUUCUAAUAUAAUAUUCCUCCCACGGUAUCUAAUGUCCUGGGCUAUCUCCAAUCUAAUAAUAGGAUCUCU